rnacentral:rRNA from 1 species
UACGUAGGUGGCAAGCGUUAUCCGGAAUUAUUGGGCGUAAAGCGCGCGUAGGCGGUUUUUUAAGUCUGAUGUGAAAGCCCACGGCUCAACCGUGGAGGGUCAUUGGAAACUGGAAAACUUGAGUGCAGAAGAGGAAAGUGGAAUUCCAUGUGUAGCGGUGAAAUGCGCAGAGAUAUGGAGGAACACCAGUGGCGAAGGCGACUUUCUGGUCUGUAACUGACGCUGAUGUG